GCCUAGUACUUCCGUAGUCGAUGAGUCGAGUGAAUUAUUACAGAGAUAAUAAUUCACUGAGUUAGAAGGAGUUCUGACAAGUAUGACUCACGGCCAGCUCGAUAUUGGGCCUAGAGGGUCACACACAUAUGGUAGGCAUUGCGAUGAGUAGAGGUUCGGAUAUGAGAUAUCCGACGGAGCCCUUGUCUUAUUGGAUGCAGAUCCAAUACCCACUAGGGAAGGACCCAUUAGGGUUUUGACACGGGAUCUCUAUAAAUAGGAGGGAUUCACAGCCUCAUAGGCUAGAGUCUUUGCUUGCCCUUCCUAUUCUCCUCUCCCUCUCCCCCUCAGAGUAGGCCUGGAGUUUUGAGGAGCGUCGUCGCAACCCUGCUGUGUGGAUCACCGCUAGAGAGGAGGACGCUUGACCUCCUUCACCCUCUCCUAAGGAUCUGCAAGGAAACAGGGAUAUACGAUCUCCCUAGGUAACACAAUCUCUAUACGCAGUUUUGUGUUUUUUGCGGAUUUUGCGCACCAAUCUUCGCACGACGAUGAACAUCUUUUUGGGAAUCGGGGAUUUUUGUUUUCUUGUUCUUCCGCUGCGCAUAUGAUGUCGCCCCCUAUGAUUUCCCAACAGGCUGCAGUAGCUGCUUUUGGGAAAGAGAAAGAGUAGGAACGAGAGAAGGGAAGAAGGAAAUAGUGCAGUGGAAGGGGGCUGCGGUUGUGACCGCAGUUGCGGUCGUGGCUGCGAUUGUGGCAGCGGCAGCGACGGCAGCUGUGGCAGCUGCGUUUGGGAAAGAAAAAGAAGGAAUGAGAGUAAGAGAGAGCAGGUGACUGUGCCUCGAUGUUCGACACGUGAUAUAGUUGCGAAGAAAGGAAGAAAACGGGAGCACAAAACGAAACAGAGAGAGGACACGGAGAAAAAGUAGAAGGAUUUGAGCUGGCACCUUCUUUGGAUCUUCGGAUCGAAAUCAUUGAAAGGUCAGCUUGUCACUCUUCGAGAUGUUUGAUUUGGGCUGAGGCAGUGGAUAGCUAUUCAGAAUAAUGGGCAAGUCUGGUUGGUUAUUACGAUAUUGUUGUAUAAGUAUGUCUUGUAUGUAAUGAAAUGUUGUCGAUGAACCGAAAUGGAUAUACUGUGUCAAAGUGUUAGGAGAUCUCUCUUAUUUGGAAUUUCAGAAUGUUAAGUCUAAUUUAUGGUGAUAUGAACUUGUGGUGAAUAGUUGGAGUUCUGAUUGUAUAAUUUAAUUAGCUUGUGGAUUUAUAAAUGUGGUUCAUGUUUGUCAA